GUGUAGGCCUCAGUGAAGCCUGAACUGGAGUAGGCUUGCAGGGAGGCCCCAAGGAAGGAAGGAGGCAGGCAGGCAGGCAGAGUGGCCCCCACAGCUCUCUGCAGCAGACCCUCUGCCCAGCCCAGCAUUUUGCCAGGGCUUGGUCAGAUUCAAGUAGAAUAGGAGUACAUUCCGUACAUCCAAGGAAUGCAGUGACAGUUCCAGAGCAGCCGCGAGAUUUCAGAAGAAGGUGACUUUUCUGGUGCUGGAGAAUGGUGGAUGAUCUGCAAAUCAGGAUCAGUUUGGUUUCUCUUGUCUGCGUAGAUUUCUACAUAGAGCAAAGCUGUGAAAUGAGCAGCACAAGACUGGGCUGCCAUGGCAACCUGAAGGUACCUCAACAAGCUCAAUACCUACAGAAAUAAAGACAAAGGAGGAACAGUGGAAACUUAUUCUCACUUUGCAAUGCACAACUAUCAGCACCUAAACCAGGAGAUCCUGCAUUUAUCUGAACAUACAAUCUCCCUUGACCUUAGAUAUUGACCCUGUUAGCAUGCUCAAUAUUUAGAAUUGAGGAUCGUUUUAUACAUUUCCAUGUGCAGUGAAGGAAAUGGAGGAGGAAAUAAGGAUGGUCUGCUCUUGAAUUCACCAUGUGGAAGUUAGGUGGGGGGAGGAAACAAUAUCCAAACACCCACAGUACUACUAACUUGAAUUAUAAAAUCGCACAAAGCAAAGAACAGGGAAAAAAGAUUAAAAUGCCUUCUAUUUGCAACGAGGGCAAUUUGAUUCAAUGUUUAGGAUUCCACAUCUGUGGAUCUGCAUAUCUGUGGCUGGAAAAAGAUACCCAACCUCGGCAUACACGGGGCGGGGGUGGGUGGGUGCCGACCUUAUAUAUCCAUGGGUUGGAGGUGGCCGGAAAUUACCGUGGAGGUAAUUUCUGGCCGCCAUUUUCUUCGACAGAGCAUCAAAAUGGCUCCCAUCUUUGUAAAAUAAAAAUAAGAAUUAAAAAGCCAGCUGAUUUUCAGCUGAUUUGGGGGCACAGCACAACUCAGAGGGAGCAGCAGAGCAUGGUAAGAAGCUCCCCCCCCACGCAAAAUUCGGCCAAUUUCCUGUCAUUUCCUGUCGACCGGGAACCUAACCCCCGCAAUCUCAUAGGUCCAAUUACUCUAUAUUUGUGGUUUCCAUAUCCACAACUGUAGCAUGGAAUGGAACCCCCACGAAUAUCGAGGUUCUCCUGUAUAGAAAAAUUCAAAACCAUGUUAUAUUUGUUUAUCAUAAAGAU